rnacentral:rRNA from 1 species
AGAAUGUUAUCACGGGAGACACACGGCGGGUGCUAACGUCCGUCGUGAAGAGGGAAACAACCCAGACCGCCAGCUAAGGUCCCAAAGUCAUGGUUAAGUGGGAAACGAUGUGGGAAGGCCCAGACAGCCAGGAUGUUGGCUUAGAAGCAGCCAUCAUUUAAAGAAAGCGUAAUAGCUCACUGGUCGAGUCGGCCUGCGCGGAAGAUGUAACGGGGCUAAACCAUGCACCGAAGCUGCGGCAGCGACACUCAGGUGUUGUUGGGUAGGGGAGCGUUCUGUAAGCCUGCGAAGGUGGCCUGUGAGGGUUGCUGGAGGUAUCAGAAGUGCGAAUGCUGACAUAAGUAACGAUAAAGCGGGUGAAAAGCCCGCUCGCCGGAAGACCAAGGGUUCCUGUCCAACGUUAAUCGGGGCAGGGUGAGUCGACCCCUAAGGCGAGGCCGAAAGGCGUAGUCGAUGGGAAACGGGUUAAUAUUCCCGUACUUGGUGUUACUGCGAAGGGGGGACGG